CAUGAACGUUGGCGGCGUGGAUUAGGCAUGCAAGUCGAACGCUUUAUGUAGCAAUACAUGAAGAGUGGCGUAAGGGAGAGUAAUCCAUGGUUAGCUACCCUCGGGUCUGGGAUAGCGGCGGGAAACUGCCGGUAAUACCAGAUGACAUCUUCGGAUCAAAGGUGUGAUUCCGCCCGAGGAGGCGACCGUGUCCUAUCAGCUAGUUGGCGGUGUAAUAGACCACCAAGGCUAAGACGGGUAUGGGGCGUGAGAGCGUGCCCCCACUCACUGGGACUGAGACACUGCCCAGACACCUACGGGUGGCUGCAGUCGAGAAUCUUCGGCAAUGGGCGCAAGCCUGACCGAGCGACGCCGCGUGCGGGAUGAAGGCCUUCGGGUUGUAAACCGCUGUCGUAGGGGAGGAAGCGACCGUGAAGAACGGAAGUUGACCGAUCCAAGGAGGAAGCGCCGGCUAAUCUCGUGCCAGCAGCCGCGGUAACAC
rnacentral:rRNA from 1 species